rnacentral:rRNA from 1 species
CCGGGAUAGCUGCGGGAAACUGCAGGUAAUACCGGAUAACAUCUCCGGAUCAAAGGUGUGAUUCCGCCUGAGGAUGAGUCUACAUCCUAUUAGCUAGUUGGCGAGGUAAUGGCUCACCAAGGCAUUGAUGGGUAGCGGGUGUGAGAGCACGACCCGCGUCAUUGGGACUGAGACACUGCCCAGACACCUACGGGUGGCUGCAGUCGAGAAUCUUCGGCAAUGGGCGCAAGCCUGACCGAGCGACGCCGCGUGUGGGAUGAAGGCCUUCGGGUUGUAAACCACUGUCAGAGGGGAUGAAAUGCAGGUGGGUUCUCCCAUCUGUUUGACAUAGCCUCAGAGGAAGGACGGGCUAAGUUCGUGCCAGCAGCCGCGGUAAGACGAACCGUCCAAACGUUAUUCGGAAUCACUGGGCCUAAAGGGUGCGUAGGCGGCGCGGCAAGUUGGGUGUGAAAUCCCUCGGCUCAACCGAGGAACUGCGCCCAAAACUGCCGUGCUCGAGGGAGAUAGAGGUGAGCGGAACUUAGGGUGGAGCGGUGAA